rnacentral:rRNA from 1 species
AUACGUAGGGUGCAAGCGUUAAUCGGAAUUACUGGGCGUAAAGCGUGCGCAGGCGGUUUUGUAAGACAGUGGUGAAAUCCCCGGGCUCAACCUGGGAACUGCCAUUGUGACUGCAAGGCUGGAGUGCGGCAGAGGGGGAUGGAAUUCCGCGUGUAGCAGUGAAAUGCGUAGAGAUGCGGAGGAACACCGAUGGCGAAGGCAGUCCCCGGGGCCUGCACUGACGCUCAUGCACGAAAGCGUGGGGGGCAAACAGGAUUAGAUACCCUGGUAGUCCACGCCCUAAACGAUGUCAACUGGUUGUUGGGGAUUUAUUUUCUCAGUAACGAAGCUAACGCGUGAAGUUGACCGCCUGGGGAGUACGGCCGCAAGGUUAAAACUCAAAUGAAUUGGCGGGG